CUGACAGUGCCUCAUGCCCAGCCCAGAGCCCAACGUGGAGCUUGAACUUACAGGCUGUGAGGUCAUGACCUGAGCUGAAAUCAAGAGUUGGAUGCUUAAUCGACUGAGCCACCCAAGUGCCCCAAUAACUCCAAGUUCUAGUUCCUGAGUAAAUUAGCCCAUCCCCCAACCUAACUACCCAUCUCUCAUCACUGAAUUAUCAGCUUUUUGGAGAUGGUGAAAGAAGCUGAUGCUGCUUUUUGGGGGGAUGUAAUCACUUGGUUCAAAAACAUCUUCAGGGAAAAGUUUUGAGAACCGUAUAGAUGAAUAGAUUUCAGUACCAAUGGUAUACUGAGGAUACAAAGGUGAGAGAGCCAUUUUCUCUACAGGAAGUGCCCAGAAGAGGAGAGGUCAGAAGGUAGGGCAGGUCACAGUGCUGGCUCCAAGUUAUCAAAGUCAGAUGCCUCAUAUGAGUCUUUACAGUGAUAGGUCACUUCUCUCUUUUCUUUUUUUAAAUAGCCCCCCACGUUGUCAUCAUUUGUUUUCUUUUUUAACUUUUUAGCUUUGAACAAACAAGAAGAGUUCUGUCAACAUCUAGUGUUUGUCCAGCUGUGAUGUAUGCGCCAUACCUGAAUCAGGAAUCCAGAAUGCUAGGAGAAUUCUAUUUCUGGAGCAACAAGUAGACAGUAGUUCAUUGUGCCCUGAUUUGAGCCAUGUCGUCUUUAUUGUCCAUGUGAAUCCUGGUACCUUUCUGGUCAGACUCAAAAUUACAUAAAUUUAAGAAAAUAGUUUGUGUACAGCCUCUUUGCUCAAUUUCCAGUCCCUGCAGCAUCCAUUAGAUACUACCAGACUGUCUCUUAUAACCCCUGCACUGUUUCGUGGGAGGAAGAGAAGGCGUAGCCUAGACAGUCUGAGGCAGUCGAUUAUACAGUAAUGAGAAGUGCACUGUUCACACGCCCUUUGCUCUGUCCCUACCCUCCGUUUUACUGCUUUCUUUGGGGGAACUCGACAGGCCGAGAUGCAAUGCAUCAUUCCCCCUCUUUUUUUUUUUUUUUUUUUUUUUAAACCCCUGGUCAUGUUGCACUUCGGGAGUUGUUUCUGAAUGAAUAUAGAAAGACUGGUGUUGAAAUAGGAGCUGAAGACCCCUCUGUCUCCCUGAGAAAGCCGUCUCCACGCACUAGGGCACCGGCUGCCCAGGUUUUGAGUCCAUCUGUGUCCCGUGCUGCCACUUUUUGUAGGUCACAGGGAUGGACCAUCCCUGUGCUGUUUGGUUUCCAAAGUUAAAGCAUGAGUUUGUCACGACUUGUGACUCUCCUUCCAGCCAAUUCUCUUCUACACUUUCUGGAAGCUUUCCUUGGGAUCUGGUGAAAUAGCUAGAUUCUUAUUGUUUUCACUAUUUUAAAUUUUGGCCAUGUGUUUCAUCAAGUUUUGUUUUUAUCCAGAAUUUUGUAAAAUGAAAACAGUGUGCAUUUGUAAAUAUUGAAGCAACAAAGUAUAUGAAGUUGGACUAAUGCUGACUCUUAACUAGUACCCCAAAGCAAACUACUUUUAACUAUGUGGUAUAUGCUUUUCAAGACUGUUUUCCCUAAGAAUGUGUAAAUAUGUGUAUAUAUACGUUUUAAAAAUAACAUCAUGUUACAAAUAUAUUUCUGCAACUUGUUUUUGUCACUUUUAUAGAGUUUUUUUAUGUCAGUACACAUAGGAGAAACUUGUUUUUAAUUAUUCAGGAUAAGUAACUUUUUAGUGGGAAUUCUCUGAUUAUUUGACCUAUUUUUGUCGUGGUUUUGGGUCUGUUUAUGUGUUUCUAUUAUUGUGACAGUUUUGGAAUUUUAUAUUUUUAUUGUUACCUAUUUUGUUGACUUUGUUGCCUUAUACUUAUUCAUAAUAAUAUUUUGUUAUUAUUUUAGUCUGUGUUUUUGUUUUUUGGGUUUUUUUGGUGUUAUUUUCCUUUUAAAUAAAUCUGAAGCCCCUGGGACCUGGUUUCACUGUAUCCACUGGCGGUUCUUAGGUGAUCAGAAUUUUGAAGUCCUACCCAACUUCUAGUACAGAUUAGGACUCUGCCAUGACAGAAUUGUCUUGAAAUAUGCUUUAAAAGACUCAUUGUAAUAUAUAUACAUACAUAUAUAUAUAUAUAUAUGUAUAUAUAUAUAUACACACACACAAACACACAUACAUAUAUGUUUAUGUAUACAUAAUAUAUAUGUUUGUUUAUGUAUGUGUAUAUAUACACAUCUAUGUUAAUGUAAGAAAGGAGAAUGCCUCCUGUAAUGCUUUUCAUUAUGAGAAAGGUGCUAUGAUGGCUAUGAUGAGUCACCCUAAAGUUGUAAAGCAUCAUUUUAGAGGAAAUAAAGAUCUCUCUUCCUGUGCUUGCCCUUCAGGAUCUCUGGAUGGUGUCAAAAAGCCUUCUACCCACUCCAGGAAAAAGAACUAGUCAGCUAGUAAAAUCUGGGCCUAGUGAUAUUCCUUCUCUUCCCUCUGAUACUUGGAAAUAGUAUCAGAACUCACUAAACAGGAAGUCACCAGUGUGUUCAGACAUUGUAUUACCUGCCUGAUGCUGAAAGCCUUUGAGCUGAAGUACCUUGAUAUGGAAUCUGGACCAGUCAGUGCUUCUUGACCUUGGCUUCAUAUUAUAAUCAUCUGGGGAAAGAGCUCUCAAAGCAUCAGAUCCUGGGAUGUCCCCCUCAGCUGUUGUUUAAGACUGCAUGGAUUCAAUCUCUGGCUGCACUUCUCACUGGCUUUUUGACCUUAGGCAAGUUGGUUACCUUCUCUUGGAAACUGUGAGUAGUAAUAGUGCUCCCUUCAGAAGAUCAUGGAGGGGCCCCCGGUAAAUGAUAUCAAAUUAUAUAUGUAAAACACUUAGAAUCUGGCACGUAGGAAACCCUCAUAAAGCAUUAGAUAGUAUUACUAAGUUUUGGUGACAAAAACUGAUCAUCUUUAUUGCUAUUCUCUUACAAAGAAGAUUUGAGAUUUAUUCUAUUCUACUUUGCUGAUUCCUUAACUUCCAAGCAAACCCAGCUGCAGUGGUGACAAAGGGAAACAGCUACAUCCUCGGGUUAUUUCAGGCCCAAUCUAGUGAAGCUGCUACCUAUAUGGGAACGGAAUGGAGUGAAUGGCAGUGGACCAACUGACCAAAGAAUCCUCUCCUGAGAUGGUCAUUUUGGAUAGUUUUAUUUUUUCAAAUCCCAUUUUCUCAAAUAUCUCAUUCUUAUUGGGAGAAAUAAGAGAAAUAAAAUAAAUUCAAGAGAAAUAUCCAUCAUUAUGUACCAGUAGGGCUGAUACUUAUUUUAAAAUAGGGGCUAGCUUGACUGAGUAACAAGGGGAGGAAUCUGAAAAUAGCACAGUGUGCAAGCGCUAAAAAAGAAUGAAAAUAUUCUUGUUCCGUUGAAAAAACACAGCUCUGAAACAAUGGUAGAGAUGGAAGAAAAUGUCAUGGGGAAAUUUCACGCGGAAAUUAUUGGUCAGUAUAGUCUGUUUAUAAAAGUCUCUUCGGUUUCUUUGAGUCAGUUAAAACUAAAAUACAAGUAAAGCUAUGGAUUUCCCAGUGUUUUUGUCACUCAGAAGUGGUUAUAUUUAGUGCCAUUGACUAGGUAUUAGUUGUUUUUCGGAAAGUCAUCAGGAAAGUUUUUAGUUAAUAUUUGGUAAGAUCUAAUUUUGGAAUGGGCUUCUAUGACUCCAUGUACCUGUCUCUUCUUGUAACAGAAAGUUAAACAAAGAAUAAUGAUGUAGUACACUACAAGUGUUGAGUCCCUAUGGUUUUAGUUAAAUCUAAAUGCAAAUCAAAAUGCAUUUUUUAUGCCAGGAUAUUUGGUGAGCUACUUUAAUGCUUAUUUUAUGGUUCCACAGACCAUAACUGACACCUAUUUGAAAGCACUCAAUUUCCAGUAUUGAAUGUGCAAAAUUGCUUUCUACUCUAAGAUCACAAAAAGGGCAUGUGACGCAUACCAUAAUUUAUCUGCCUCAGAAAAUAAGAUUUGGUUCUUAUAAAGAGGACACAUGUUAGGUACUUAAAAUUUACUGAAACCUGGCUUGCAUGUAUUCCUUAGGCUUGAUGAUACAACAUUUGGUUAUCCUAAGGUAGUAAGACAAUUCUUUCAGACAAGACUACACCCGCAAGAUCAUGGCAGAGGAGGUCAAACCACAUGGCAUUAUCCAGUUUCCUCCCUUUAAUUAUAAAGGAAGCCAACUCUGCAGACAUUCAGAACCUGAUAUGUACCUCUGGGUCUGAUUUAAUACAACUAGUGCUAAUCACUGAAUUCAUCUAAUCCUAAGCAAAAGUAAGAAAUCAGCACAGAUUUCUCAUGGGUGAUUGUAUAAUUUUUAAAGCUUUUUGUAAUGUUGAAAAUAGUUUAAGACCCUUACGUUCUACCUAUUACUUUUCUAAUGCCCUCCAAUAGUUCACAAAUUCAGACUGUAAACCAGUCAACCAGAUGAUGCUUAAAAUAAUUUCUUUCCUCUUCCAAAGUGAGAAUUUCUCUUUGGCAUCUGAAAGAUCUUUCUUGGAAAACUUUAAGUCAUCCACAGUCAUUUCAGUAUUUUAAGGAAGAGGCAAAUCAAUUACUUAGCUCCUCCUUCAUCUGAAUGGAGUUGUUUCUAUUGUUUUUGUUUUGUUUUUACUCUUGAUUUUAAUCUGUAGUGGGUGGGUCAAACACUAGUGUUCUGGCAAACCAAAAUGUAAUCAUUAAUAUUGUUUAAGUUCCCUGGCAGUUCAUUUAGGAAGUAGGUGAUAUUUUAAAUGGAAAAUUACAGACUUAAAGAAAUAAUAGUGUACAUUCGAAUGACCCUUACAAUUUACAGUGCGCUUACACAGAGUCCAGAUUGGUGGUAUUGAUCUGCUCCAGAUUCUCCUGUGUACCUCCCCCAACCUUGGAGCAAUGAUUAAUUUGAUUUUCUUCGUUUGUAGAAAGAAUUUGCAAAUACAAUUCUAGGUAUGUGGAAUGUGGUUUGAGUUAAGUGGAUAAAGAGAUGAAUAUGAUAUUACACUGUUUAUUUAGAGUCUACCUCUUCUAGUUUAGGGGAUUAUGAGGAAACCUUCAAAAGGUCCUUCCUCCAAUGAAGAUGAUAAAAACUAUUGUGCUCAUGUGUUCCCAUCUUUGUGUUAGAAAUUUUUUCUGAAGAUAUAUUAAAAAAGAAAAAAAAUAGCUUCUAAUGGUGUUAGGAGUUGAACUUUUUCUGUAAGGUUAUUUAGUGGCACAUAGUUAAAACUUUUAAAAAAUUGUCCUCUAUAUGCCAGUUUUUCCUCUUUUAUGAUCUGCAAAAAAUUGAGAAUGACUGUAAUGCCCAAAAAAUGUUUAAAAAAAAAAUGGAAACAACUAUAAUGUCCCCAGAAUGCUGAUUAGAUAAAUUACCAAUCACCUUAAAAAAAAAAAAAAAAAGAGUAUAAUGCAAACUUCAAAGAUCAUGUUUUAGAAUACUUAGAAAAUUCUUCUAUUUAUUGUUGCAUGAAAAAAGUAUAUCAACAGUUUGACCCCAGUUCAGUCUGUGUGUCUAUGUAUAUAUUCAAUGAUCAAAUUUCACUGAGCAUUUACCUUGUUCAGAGCUCUGUGAUGAGAACUGGGAUAGCAGCAGUAAAUAAGACCAUCCCUUCCCUCAAAAUCAUACGCAUGCCAAAUAGUACAGGCAGAACCAGUCAGAGUGCUAACGGUUUGGGAUUUUGGUGUCUAUUUCCUGUUUUAAACCUGACUUGACUUCUCCGAAUCCUAGCAGGAUCAUGUAUCAACUCAUAUUCAGACUACAGCAUAAACAUGUUUUUGUAACUUUAUUCACUUCAUGCACAGUCAAGGAAGACCCUAGCAGAAUAAAAGUUAUUUUCUUAAGCAGCUGAAGAAAAGCAAUCUCAGUGUAGCAUAGCAUUUAUGAUAGUCUCCACCACAUGUUGCUACUCUCUAAGAUAAAGAGUGAAACUAAUGCAAAGAGCACUCUGGUGUCUGGUAUUUGCAUUUUUCGACUAAGAGAGGCAUUAUUUUAAAACCUAGUCAAAUGUUUCUAGGGAGAAUUGAUAGAAAAAUAGAAGAACUCUAGAAUAUUACUAAUGCUUUGGCUAUCCAGAAUUUGUGUAAAAUCGCUAAUUUAGUAUCUAUCCAAUAAGUCAAAUACUGUGCAUGGUCUGUCACUUUUAAUUAUGCUAAAAAUCCCAAAUAGUUUAAGUAUCAAUUCAUAAUUUUCCUUAGAAAAACUCUUGAUUCCACUGGGCUUCUCAAUGUAUUGCAUAAUUCAAGGAAACAAUUGCUGCUUUUAAGUUAACAUUAUGUAAAAUAAGUCACAUAUUUUUCAUAAGCUUAACAUUAAGCAGAAUUUGUUAUUUCUUAUGUCCUUAGUGAUGAGAAGGUUAAUUUUGUUAGGACUUUAUGGAUGAAUAGAAGUUCAACUUAAUAUUAAAAGAUUUGACAGGAAUUUUUGCUGCCUUUUUAGUUGUGAACUCAAUGAUUAAAUUUUGCUCCCACCUUAAAAAAAAUCAUCAAAAUCACGCUACAGAGAUAAUCAAAAUCAACACUUACAUUUGUGACUUUAGAUCUUAGAAGUCUUCACUUACUGCUUAAAUGGCAGUAGGCCAUUUAAGCCUUCCUCACAAAAUUAUGAUAAUUGAUAUAUGUCAUUGCCUUCACAUUAGCAGUUUUGGAUUUGAUAGGCAGAAAACAAUCCAUUUGAUAGAUCUUUUCUGCAAUACUCAAAUGUUUGUUUCACUGAUUCUGAUCAGAUGUAUGUGGUUUGUAUACUUUGGAUUUGUUUAUUCCUCCAUAUGAAAUCUAUUUGAAAUUGCUUUCCAAAAGGAGAAGAGGAUGGAUUUGGGGCUUGUGAAUGCUAAACAGAAACUUUAAUUACACAUGUAACAGAGAUGUGCUUUCGACUUCAAGCUUUAAAAUACUGACUUUGUAUCAGUAUACAUAUCAGUAUACAUCAGAUGCAUAACAUUUGAGUCAUGAGUAUGAUGGAGAAUGUCAGAAUACUAAUCAGUUUUGCUGUAUAGCCACUAUCCAUAUAUCUCUUUAGAGAGCAACUCCUUUUGAUCCCAAAUAAAUCUGAGUAAAAGUAUCCUAAGUUCAAUGAGAUUAGUCUGGCAUUAAACCCAAACCAAAUUGUCCUUGCUCUUGCCCUGCCUUACCCUGAUAAAGCAAAUAGUCUAAAACAAGAGCAACAAAAAGAAAGAAAAUUAUCAAUUGGAAAGUCAUUAUUCAUCUAAAAUUUGAAAACCAGGCAUGAACUCAGAUAAGUUUAGGAACGUUUGAUUGCAUAGUUUUAGUCUCAAAAGUGAAUUUUACUGAGUAGUUUAUGUGGUCUCUUUUGUCCUUUCAUUUAACACAUAUGCAUGAAUAUCUGCUGUGUCAGAAUAAUAAUUCAUCAUCCACUAUGAUUAUCAAGAACAAAUUGAGCAACUCUCCUUGAGAUUCCAAAGAAGAGUGGAAAUCUCUACUAGGCCCAGAAUGUUCUUAUAACUGAGAAAAGUCAGCUGGACUGAAAUGUCUUAUUGGUUCUGGCAUUAACUUAGUGUGCGAUCUACCAUAAAUGACUCUGCUUCCUUGGGCUGCAUUUUUUUUUCCAGGUUCAGAUAUUUGUCAUCUUUUGAAGCAAUAUUAACUAUCUGUCUUCUGUAGUGAACUUUCGUAAGAAUUAAAGAAGAUGCUCCUGUGAA